GGCCCCAUCGUCUAUCGGUUAGGACAUCAGGUUCUCAUCCUGGUAAGCAGGGUUCGACUCCCUGUGGGGUCACCA
rnacentral:tRNA from 1 species